AUUGAACGCUGGCGGCAUGCCUUACACAUGCAAGUCGAACGGUAACAGGUCUUCGGAUGCUGACGAGUGGCGAACGGGUGAGUAAUACAUCGGAACGUGCCUAGUAGUGGGGGAUAACUACUCGAAAGAGUGGCUAAUACCGCAUGAGAUCUACGGAUGAAAGCAGGGGAUCGCAAGACCUUGUGCUACUAGAGCGGCCGAUGGCAGAUUAGGUAGUUGGUGGGAUAAAAGCUUACCAAGCCGACGAUCUGUAGCUGGUCUGAGAGGACGAUCAGCCACACUGGGACUGAGACACGGCCCAGACUCCUACGGGAGGCUGCAGUGGGGAAUUUUGGACAAUGGGCGCAAGCCUGAUCCAGCAAUGCCGCGUGCAGGAUGAGGGCCUUCGGGUUGUAAACUGCUUUUGUACGGAACGAAAAGCCCCGGGUUAAUACCCUGGGGUCAUGACGGUACCGUAAGAAUAAGCACCGGCCAACUACGUGCCAGCAGCCGCAGUAA
rnacentral:rRNA from 1 species